UACGGAAGGGGGCUAGCGUUGCUCGGGAAUCACUGGGGCGUAAAGCGCACGUAGGCGGAUUGCUAAGUCAGGGGUGAAAUCCUGGAGCUCAACUCCAGAACUGCCUUUGAUACUGGCGACCUUGAGUCCGGGAGAGGUGAGUGGAACUGCGAGUGUAGAGGUGAAAUUCGUAGAUAUUCGCAAGAACACCAGUGGCGAAGGGCGGCUCACUGGCCCAUUACUGACGCUGAGGCACGAAAGCGUGGGGAGGCAAACAGGG
rnacentral:rRNA from 1 species